rnacentral:rRNA from 1 species
ACGAACGCUGGCGGCGUGCUUCACACAUGCAAGUCGCACGGAAAGGCCCUGCUUUUGUGGGGUGCUCGAGUGGCGAACGGGUGAGUAACACGUGAGUAACCUGCCCUUGACUUUGGGAUAACUUCAGGAAACUGGGGCUAAUACCGGAUAGGAGCUCCUGCUGCAUGGUGGGGGUUGGAAAGUUUCGGCGGUUGGGGAUGGACUCGCGGCUUAUCAGCUUGUUGGUGGGGUAGUGGCUUACCAAGGCUUUGACGGGUAGCCGGCCUGAGAGGGUGACCGGCCACAUUGGGACUGAGAUACGGCCCAGACUCCUACGGGAGGCAGCAGUGGGGAAUAUUGCACAAUGGGCGGAAGCCUGAUGCAGCAACGCCGCGUGCGGGAUGACGGCCUUCGAGUUGUAAACCGCUUUCGCCUGUGACGAAGCGUGAGUGACGGUAAUGGGUAAAGAAGCACCGGCUAACUACGUG